rnacentral:rRNA from 1 species
ACAGAUAAUUAUACAAACAAGAUUAUUCGCCAGAGUACUACCGGCAACAGCUUAAAACUCAAAGGACUUGGCGGUGCUUUAUAUCCCUCUAGAGGAGCCUGUUCUAUAAUCGAUAAACCCCGAUAAACCUCACCAAUUCUUGCUAAUUCAGUCUAUAUACCGCCAUCUUCAGCAAACCCUAAAAAGGAAUAAAAGUAAGCACAAUAAUAACACAUAAAAACGUUAGGUCAAGGUGUAACCUAUGAAAUGGAAAGAAAUGGGCUACAUUUUCUAUAUUAAGAAAAUCUUACACGAAAGUUAUUAUGAAACUAACAACCAAAGGAGGAUUUAGCAGUAAACUAGGAAUAGAGUGCUUAGUUGAACUAGGCCAUGAAGCACGCACACACCGCCCGGUCACCCUC